rnacentral:rRNA from 1 species
CAGCAGCCGCGGUAAUACGUAGGUGGCAAGCGUUGUCCGGAUUUACUGGGCGUAAAGCGAACGCAGGCGGACUGUUAAGUAGGAAGUGAAAGGUCGGAGCUCAACUCCAACAUUGCUUCCUAUACUGGCAGUCUUGAGUAGCGGAGAGGAAGGGGGAACGACACGUGUAGCGGUGAAAUGCGUUGAUAUGUGUCGGAACACCCAUGGCGAAAGCACCCUUCUGGACGCAAACUGACGCUCAGGUUCGAAAGCCAAGGUAGCGAACAGGAUUAGAUACCCGCGUAGUCCCUGUCUCUUAACA